GACGAACGCUGGCGGCGUGCUUAACACAUGCAAGUCGAACGGUAAGGCCCCUUCGGGGGUCCACGAGUGGCGAACGGGUGAGUAACACGUGAGCAACCUGCCCUUGACUCUGGAAUAACAGUUGGAAACAGCUGCUAAUACUGGAUAUUCAUCGUCUCCUUCCUGGGGGGUGGUGGAAAGCUCCGGCGGUCAGGGAUGGGCUCGCGGCCUAUCAGCUUGUUGGUGAGGUAAUGGCUCACCAAGGCUUCGACGGGUAGCCGGCCUGAGAGGGCGACCGGCCACACUGGGACUGAGAUACGGCCCAGACUCCUACGGGAGGCAGCAGUGGGGAAUAUUGCACAAUGGGCGCAAGCCUGAUGCAGCAACGCCGCGUGCGGGAUGACGGCCUUCGGGUUGUAAACCGCUUUCAGUAGGGACGAAGGGUGACUGACGGUACCUACAGAAGAAGAACCGGCUAACUACGUG
rnacentral:rRNA from 1 species